rnacentral:rRNA from 1 species
GACGAACGCUGGCGGCGUGCUUAACACAUGCAAGUCGAACGGAAAGGCCCUGCUUUUGUGGGGUGCUCGAGUGGCGAACGGGUGAGUAACACGUGAGUAACCUGCCCUUGACUUUGGGAUAACUUCAGGAAACUGGGGCUAAUACCGGAUAGGAGCUCCUGCUGCAUGGUGGGGGUUGGAAAGUUUCGGCGGUUGGGGAUGGACUCGCGGCUUAUCAGCUUGUUGGUGUGGUAGUGGCUUAGCAAGGCCUUGACGGGUAGCCGGGCUGGGAGGGUGACCGGCCACAUUGGGACUGAGAUACGGCCCAGACUCCACCGGGAGGCAGCGGUGGGGAAUAUUGCACUAUGGGCGGAAGCCUGGUGCGGCCCCGCCGCGUGGGGGAUGACGGCCUUCGGGUUGUGUACCGCUUUCGCCUGUGACGAAGCGUGAGUGACGGUAAUGGGUGAAGAAGCACCGGCUAACUCCGUG